UGCCAGCAGCCGCGGUAAUACGAAGGGACCUAGCGUAGUUCGGAAUUACUGGGCUUAAAGAGCGUCGUAGGUGGUUAAAAAAGUUGAUGGUGAAAUCCCAAGGCUCAACCUUGGAACUGCCAUCAAAACUUUUUAGCUAGAGUGUGAUAGAGGUAAGUGGAAUUUCUAGUGUAGAGGUGAAAUUCGUAGAUAUUAGAAAGAACACCAAAUGCGAAGGCAACUUACUGGGUCAUUACUGACACUGACGCUCAGGGACGAAAGCCAGGGGAGCGAAAGGGAUUAGAUA
rnacentral:rRNA from 1 species